rnacentral:rRNA from 1 species
GGUUCGAUCAUGGCUCAGAUUGAACGCUAUGUGGAUGCUGUAUACAUGCAAGCGAACGGCAGCAUGGACUUCGGUCUGGUGGCGAGUGGCGAACGGGGUGAGUAAUGAUGGAACGUGCCUAGUAGCGGGGAUAACUACGCGAAAGCGUAGCUAAUACCGCAUAUUGCCCUUCGGGGAAGCGGGGGACUCCGGCCUCGCACCAUUAGAGCGGCCGAUAUCGGAUUAGCUUGUUGGUGGGUAACGGCUCACCAAGGCGACGGACCCAGCUGGUUUGAGAGGACGACCAGCCACACUGGGACUGAGACACGGCCCAGACUCCCACGGGAGGCAGCAGUGGGAAUUUUGGACAAUGGGGAAACCCCGAUCCAGCCAUCCCGCGUGUGCGAUGAAGGCCUUCGGAGUUGUAAAGCACUUUUGGCAGAAGAAACGGCACGGAUAAUACCCCGUGCAACUGACGGUACCUGCAGAAUAAGCACCGGCUAACUACGUGCCAGCAGCCGCGGUAAUACGUAGGGUGCAAGUUAAUCGGAAUUUUAUUGAAGGUGAAGCGUGCGCAGGCGGUUCGGAAAGAAAGAUGUGAAAUCCCAGAGCUUAACUUUGGAACUGGCAUUUUUAACUACCGAGCUAGAGCGUGGUCAGAGGGAGUGUGGAAUUCCGCGUAGCAGUGAAAUGCGUAGAUAUGCGGAGGAACACCGAUGGCGAAGGCAGCCUCCUGGGAUAACACUGACGUGUGCUCAUGCACGAAAGCGUGGGGAGCAACAGAUUAGAUACCCUGGUAGUCCACGCCCUAAACGAUGUCAACUAGCUGUUGGGGCCUUCGGGCCUUGGUAGCGCAGAGUGGCUAAUUGGCAGGAAGUUGACCAUUUGGGGAGUACGGUCGCAAGAUUAAAACUCAAAGGAAUUGACGGGACCUGCACAAGCUAUGGGUGGAUGAUGAUUAAUUGAUGCAACGCGAAAAACCUACCUACCUCGACAUGUCUGGAACUCGGAAGAGAGAUUUCACGGGGAGUGCCGCAAGAGAACCGAACCAGAAGGCAUGAUGAGCCGUCAGCUCGUGUCGAGAUGUUGUCCCGCAACGAGCGCAACCUUGUCAUUAUUACAUGAAAGGGCACUCAUCGAGAUCGCCGGUGACAGUCCGAGGAAGGUGGGGAUGACGUCAAGUCCUCAUGGCCCUUAUGUAGGGCUUCACACCGCAAUGAAGUCGGGACAGAGAUCGCCAACCCGCGAGGGGGAGCCAAUCCCAGAAACCCGAUCGUAGUCCGGAUCGCAGUCUGCAACUCGACUGCGUGAAGUCGGAAUCGCUAGUAAUCGCGGAUCAGCAUGUCGCGGUGAAUACGUUCCCGGUCUUGUACACACCGCCCGUCACACCAUGGGAGUGGGUUUUACCAGAAGUAGUUAGCCUAACCGUAAGGAGGGCGAUUACCACGGUAGGAUUCAUGACUGGGGUGAAGUCGUAACAAGGG